UGAGGAAUAUUGGGUCAAUGGGCGCAAGCCUGAACCAGCCAAGUAGCGUGAGGGAAGACUGCCCUACGGGUUGUAAACCUCUUUUGUUUGGGAAUAAAGUGCGGGACGCGUCCCGCAUUGCAUGUACCAUUUGAAUAAGGACCGGCUAAUUCCGUGCCAGCAGCCGCGGUAAUACGGAAGGUCCGGGCGUUAUCCGGAUUUAUUGGGUUUAAAGGGAGCGCAGGCCGUGGGUUAAGCGUGUCGUGAAAUUCCGUCGCUCAACGGCGGACGUGCGGCGCGAACUGGUCCACUUGAGUACGCGGGACGUUGGCGGAAUUCGUGGUGUA
rnacentral:rRNA from 1 species